GGAGAGGGGCAGCCGGCAGGGAGGCUGGAGGGAAGGCAGGGAGAGAGGGAGAGCUGAGGCUGGGCUAGGAACUCCAAGAAUGGGGCGGUGAGGAGGAGGAAAGGCCUGAGCCGGCUGAAGAGAGGAAGUGGGAAGGUGUGAGGGCGGGUUCGGACCCUAAUUAGGAGAGAAAGGUAAGAAAGAUGGAGGACAUGGACAAUAACUGUGGACAUAGGGAGAAGAUCAAAUCUAGGCUAAAAAGAAACAACAGGACUGACCCUUCUGGUUAAAGAAGACUUUAGGAUCUGGGACCUGGGUCAAAGCUCAGGCUGAAAAAAGGCAACGAGCUUCAGUCAAAACCAAGACGAAUGCAGAAAAAAAACCCAGAAACGUUGAACCUCCAUCACUCUGAGGCGUACUUUCUUCUCUCUGCUUUGGAUGUAACGCUGGCAUGGACCGCAGUGGGCGUCCAAUCAGAUAACAGGACCUCUGCGCCUGUCAUAAUGACAGCCAUGACAUCACGGCAAGGGCUUGCGGAGAGAAGACGAGCGGAGCUGCAGACAGGGAGAGCGGGGCUGCGCGGCACUGCGGCGCCCGAGCCAGAGCGCACCGGCGGCCGGGUCCGAACCGCGCCGACUCCCGGGAGCUGUGCAGGGUGGCGGCGACACGGGGAUGGGGGGGCGCAGGGCGAGGGACCGGCGCACCGGAGCACCGCCGCCACCGACGCCGCCGGCGACGGACUCGCCGGGGCCGCGUCUUUGGCUGAAGAGACGGAGGAAGUUGGUUCGAAACCGCGUCUGGUUUAAUUUCUGCCAAUCAAGAGGAGAGGAUGAAAACUCCAGAAAGUGGCAUUAUGCAAUUCGAGAUUAAAGACACACCCAAGAGACGGAGGCAGCGACUGAACCAGAUGGCAGAAACUGGGACCUGGUGAUGCUGACGGGGAACAUCAUCCUGACUCAAGAAAUGAAGAAGAUGCUGACAUUUCACACUGCCACGCAGGCGCAAUAAUCAAUGAAAGUCUGCUGUUGGGAGGGAAGACCGAUUCCAGAUGAAGAAAACUAGAUCAAAAGACAUGGAGGGGAACCGGAACGGAGAGAAAAAAAGGGACGAUUCGUCUCUUAAAGAAACAGAAACAAUCUGGAUGAAGACAUGUUGAUUUGAAAAGUCUGCCUUACUAGGGUUCCUUCAUGUAAUUGAGGAUUUGGUUCACUAAUUAAUGCCAGUAUUCUGUUACUGUUUAAGAAUGGUGCCUCAUUAUAUGACCUUUCUUUUAUGUGCACAGUUAAUAUUUAUCAAACAUUCUAUACAUUUUAAUACUUUUAAGAUAUAUUUGAGCUUUCCACUGUUUAAAGGAUUGUUAACGAUGCAGCUGUGUACCUACAUCAGGAAACAAGCAGCCACCUGGUAACAUUUGAGCAUUAAGCUCCUUGUAAAAUUGGGAAAAGUAAAACCUUUUAGAAUAAUAGAUUUUCUAGUUUUGAUCGUAGGGAUGCAACAAUAAAUUCAGCUCAUGGUGUAUGUAGUUCACAAAGUAAGAUUUUAGCUAAAAAAAUGUGGAAGAUGAAGCAUUUUAUAUCCUUUUCAUUAAUGAGGUAAAGGUUUCACAAAUCACAAGCUGUGUGUUAAAUAAUCUGACCAGCGCAGGAUGUUCCAGUCAAAGUUUGACUGAUUUGCUGUUGAGUUAACAAUCUACCUUUGUAAUUUGUUUUCACAUCACCAACCAGCAAAAAAA